rnacentral:rRNA from 1 species
AAACAAGGUGAGAAACCUUGUCGCCGAAAGCCUAAGGUUUCCUGUAGUCAAGUUAAUCUGCUCAGGGUUAGUCGGCUCCUAAGGCGAGGCCGAGAGGCGUAGUCGAUGGGAAACAGGUUAAUAUUCCUGUACCACUUUCAUAAUGUUAUGGUAAGGGGGGACGGAGAAGGUAAGGCCAUCCGGGCGUUGGUUGUCCCGGUUUAAGCGUGUAGGUGGAGGACUUAGGCAAAUCCGGGUCCUUGUUAACACUGAGGCGUGAUGACGAUGUCUUUUAGACAACAAAGUGGCUGGUUCCAUGCUUCCAGGAAAAUCCUCGUAUCUAGUUAUGAAUGUGACCGUACCGUAAACCGACACAGGUAGGCAGGUAGAGGAUACCAAGGCGCUUGAGAGAACUCUGGUUAAGGAACUCGGCAAAAUAGCACCGUAACUUCGGGAGAAGGUGUGCCUGCAUGGUGAUGUUAUUUACUAACUGAGCCAAGUCAGGUUGCAGUGAAAUGGGGGGAGCGACUGUUUACUAAAAACAUAGGACUCUGCGAAGUCGAAAGACGAAGUAUAGGGUCUGACGCCUGCCCGGUGCCGGAAGGUUAAGGGGACAUGUCAGCCGCAAGGUAAAGCAUUGAACCGAAGCCCCGGUAAACGGCGGCCGUAACUAUAACGGUCCUAAGGUAGCGAAAUUCCUUGUCGGGUAAGUUCCGACCUGCACGAAUGGCGUAACGAUUUCCCCACUGUCUCAACCAGGGACUCAGCGAAACUGUAGUACCGGUGAAGAUGCCGGUUACCCGCAACAAGACAGAAAGACCCCGUGAACCUUUACUACAGCUUGGCAUUGGUUUUUGAGGUAACAUGUGUAGGAUAGGUGGGAGACUUUGAAGUGGGCACGCCAGUGUUCAUGGAGUCACCCUUGAAAUACCACCCUUGUUAUCUUAGGAAUCUAACUGCGGUCCAUUAUCUGGAUCCAGGACAUUGUCUGGUGGGUAGUUUGACUGGGGCGGUCGCCUCCUAAAGAGUAACGGAGGCGCGCGAUGGUUCCCUCAGGCUGAUUGGAAACCAGCCGUAGAGUGUAAAGGCAUAAGGGAGCUUGACUGCGAGACUGACAAGUCGAGCAGGUACGAAAGUAGGUCUUAGUGAUCC